rnacentral:lncRNA from 1 species
GACCAAUCAGGACUGGGGGAACACUGCAAACCUCUGCAGUGAGAGAGAGAGAGAGAGAGAGAGAGAGAGAGAGAGAGAGAGAGAGAGAGAGAGAGAGAGAGAGAGAGAGCGCGAGAGAGAGAGAGACAUAGAACAAGGGAGAGAGAAGAGAGAGAGGAGAGCAGAGCGGGAUAUAGAGAGAUACUUGGAGUGUGAUGGUUCGCACUCCUAUCUAGACAGUUAGGCAGGGAGGAAGCGCAACAGAGAGUUGGUGAGGUGAGUAUUCACAAACAUGUCCAUAUGGAUGGAUAAGAAAAAAAGGGGGACAAACGGAGAAGAAAAAACUCACCAACAUCCCUGUCAGGACUAAUCUCUGUGGACUUCUUCUCUGUCUGGGAGGGAAAGAACAUCUGUCAGUUGUGUGACCGUUGUAUGUUCAUCAAUAUUCAAUCCCAAUUCUUGGAUUGCUGCUGGAGGGAGCAGAAUAUAAACCAGCUGUUUCAAUCGGUCGACCUAGAUUGUUGCAGAGCUGCAAGGAGAGGGGACAGCGUGGUGUAUGGACCAGCUCCAAAGCAUCAGUGUUUACCCUGCAUGGUCACUGAGACAGAAAGAUGUGGCAUUGAAGGACAGACAGAUAAUGUAUGCAACUCCUGCUACCUAAAGACCAAUUCUUGUCUGGGAUCUUUUUGCAAAUCUACCGCAGGCUCUCUGAUGAACUCACUCAUACUGUACUACCUCAUGAGGAUGACCUUCUCCUGAAUCGCUGAGUCAACCCCCCUUCCAUGCACAUAAAAACUGGUGAUCACAAAUGUCUCAGUGAUCACAUGUCAUGGUGAUUGGACACACAUGGACUAAUAAUCUGCUCUACUCACGCCAUCUCCAUUGAGGAUUGAGCAUGUCGAGGGGCAAACUGGAGACCUGUGCUCGAUUUUCAUGUCAAUGGCAGCUGGAACCAGGUGUACAGAGACUGGAGUAAAGUGGAAAGUGAAGGCCUGUUCCAUUAGCGCUCCCAGCGGGGACAUGUGCCUAUACUCUGCCUGGACACACUGACCUCUCCUGGAAAGAUUCUGGACAUUACUAUGGUGUACACUAAAGAAUAUACACGGCCGGCUGACAAACUCUGCCUCUUGGAGUACAAGCUAAUGGAUGUAACUGUUUUUUUGUAUUUACAGAUCUGACUCUCUUUUCACGGAGGACAAAUAAGCAAAAAGCAAGGAUUUGGAUCAUUGUACUAUGAGCAGUACAUUCCAGCCCUGCACAGGGGAAAGAGUCUGUGUUUCUUUGUUUUCUUGGUUGGAUGGGUCUCUCCUGCCUGGGAAUAUCAUGAGAUUAUAAACAGGAGGUGGCCCCGACAUCUUAUCCCUGUUCCACUCAUCCAUCAGCGCUCCCAACAUCGCCAAAGAAAACGGACCAGAGAUCGUAGAAAAAGUCUGGAGAGGACAUUAGCGUUAGAAUUAUUCUCUAAAAUCCACUGGGUGCAGGUGGCUGAUUCUUUAGCUUUCUUACCAUUAAGGUUGUGAAAAAAAGCUGGCAGCCCAUAGACAGUCUUUAGCGAGACGGACAGGUGCUUUUCUGGCUGUCAGCCUCUCUGGGAGGGACUAGCAGUGAAAGGAAAAGCCUCGCUGGGGGGGCUCUGCUGGAGCGGAAACACUUUUCCACUGGCUAUGUUUAGAUGUGAUGCUUGUCUCUGUGGAUACAACAUGGACUCUAUGGCCUGAUUACGCAGCCUUGGUAUUCAGAUAGUGCUGGAGGGAAGGGUAAAUAUAAAACAAAAACAUUUGUUUUUCUCCUUGUCAUCUAGAACC